AAGCCCUGGGGACUCACAAAGCCUUUGUUUGCUGAAGAACUGACUGGCAGGGAGACACUAGGCAAGAAAAACAAAUAGGGCCCCCUCCACAUGGUUAUUUAAGAGAAACAGUGAAAACAAACAAGAGAAGAAAGAAGUAGUCAAGAGAAAUCCAAGUCAUUAAUGAGGCGCCCUUAGAAAUCACUCCAAGCUCCAAGUGGGAGGGAGAGGAGCAAAGGAGAAACCAGGUGGAAGAAAGGGGCUAUAAAGAUGCGGAAGGAAAUCGAGCAGGGAGAAACCAGGCGAAUCUGGAGGAAGGCACACCCAGCUCAGGUGGGAGGAGGAAAAUGGUCUCCACGUUUGGAAGUAAUUACUUAAACAUUUUGCACCUUUCAAAACAACAGACAGCAACUUCCAAUUCCAAAUAUCUUUGUACUCCCCUGUUGCAGAGCCUAUUGGCCUCUAAACCCAGCAGGCUGAGAGCAGCUUUCAGCAUUAGCUCUGCCAAAACUGAAGGAAAAUAUCUCAGCCUGGGCUUGAAGAGAGGGGCAUUCCACUGGGGUCCCUCCAUGUGCCACCCCAGGCUGAGACCAUGGAGAGAGAAUGCAAGGAUGGUUUGUCUGCUGCCACUGGGAUGGAACCAGCUGGAACCCACUCACAUCCUACACCAGCAAGUAGAUGCAUUGUGAUGGAUGAGGGUCAAGAACCUGCCCCCAGCCUGUGUCCUGGAGUGGGAGGGGCUUCAGUGGAGCCCCGGAGUCUUCUGGGGUUGGGAGGGUGGAAUAAAGCCAGCUGAGCCUCACAGCAAAAGCUGCUAUCUAAAGAAGCCUUUGUCAGGGGCAGUCUAUGCAGACUUUGACAAGCAGAAAUAGAGUCCUACAUCCUAUGAUGUCAGGAGGGAAUCCCCUGCACCAUACACCACCUGGAAAUGCUGUCUCAAAAGACACUGACCUAUAAGGUCAGGUGAAAUCCUUCAUUUGGCCUGCUUUUUCAAGAGACUGAUUAAGACCCUGCCCAUGCCAAGCUAAUAAAACGUAGGUUCCUCUCUGCCUUGGCUCUGCUCCCUCUUGUAGGCCCCAUGCUGAUUACCAGCUUCCAAGGGAGGGGGCAAUACCAGCUGGGCCCAGGGAGUUUCCCAGAGUGCA
rnacentral:lncRNA from 1 species